AGAAACAUGGCGGUGCAACAUGGCGUCCUCUGUGGAAGAGGACCUGCUCCUUAUGUAGAUACACAGGGCUCAUUGUAAGAGCACCAAGUGAGGCCUUUGCCCGUGUGGUUUUCUCUCCAUCUGAACUCCUCUUACACUCCACGUGCAUGUGCUCCCUCUUACCGUGGAGUUAAGUAAUAUCUUCAUUGACGUGGCAGCGAGUGUUGUCUUUCUUCUGUUAAAAGCUAAACUACGUAGGGAGCAAGUGGAAGUCCGGCCGCUGCUGCUGCUCCUCCCGGUCGCUGCCGCCCUCAUGGGAGCUGCAGGAGGAGCUGACGCUGUCUG